rnacentral:rRNA from 2 species
UGGGGAAUAUUGCGCAAUGGGCGAAAGCCUGACGCAGCGACGCCGCGUGGAGGAUGAAGGCCUUCGGGUCGUAAACUCCUGUCAAGAGGGAAGAACCGUAUGCGGAAUAAUACGCCGCAUGCCUGACGGUACCUCUAGAGGAAGCACCGGCUAACUCCGUGCCAGCAGCCGCGGUAAUACGGAGGGUGCAAGCGUUAAUCGGAAUCACUGGGCGUAAAGCGCGCGUAGGCGGCUUGGUAAGUCAGGUGUGAAAGCCCCCGGCCCAACCGGGGAAUUGCACUUGAUACUGCUAGGCUAGAGUUCAGGAGAGGGUGGCGGAAUUCCAGGUGUAGGAGUGAAAUCCGUAGAUAUCUGGAGGAACACCGGUGGCGAAGGCGGCCACCUGGACUGACACUGACGCUGAGGUGCGAAAGCGUGGGUAGCAAACAGG